CAUUGCUUAGUUACAUGUUGGUUGUAAUGGUGAGACUGCCAGUGAUUCAGCAACAUGUGAUAAAGUUUAGCACUCUUGUGGGCUUGACUAAGCCAAGUGGUAGACAAUAAUGCCAGCUGCAACCAAUUUGGAUUAAUGACCGUCACCUAAGAGUUUGGAAUGAAGUGCUGAUGACACUUCGGAAAAUGACUGUGGUGGAAAACCUUUCAUCUUGCCAUCUGACAAAAGCGUUUGUAAUCCAGCUUGUCUUGCUGUGGUGCUGAAGGAUUUUUGAGUUAAUGGAAGCUAUAAAACCUAUCAUCAGGAAGUACUGUUUACAUGGAAUGGGCGGUUCUCAACAUAAUGCUGGAUGGCCGGUCCAUAACAUUUUAGGUGUUCAUCGGUCGCUCAGUAGUCAGUGUAGAUUCUGUUUCUCUCAAUCAGCAGCUACAUCUGGCUACUGGGUCUCUGAGGACAUCUCAACAAGCUUGUACUUUUUUGAUGACCAUUUGGAUAUUUUCAGCUGAUAUUUUCCCAAGAUGCAACUAAAAGUAAUAUCUACAAAUGUAUCUUCUAGUAGUUUACAAUAAAAUUAUUCUUCAUGAGACAUAUUUUGAUUGAAUUAAAGAAGACUGCCUUGAAAUGUGGGACACCUAUUGUUUCAUUACAGCAGUUAUCAUAGGGUGGCAAUCAACUUACUUAUUCUAGCUAGAGAAAAACAGCUUGUGUCUCUAGCAUGAUCCACGUCUUAUGCAGCAGAAAUGUGAGAAAACAGAAAUAAUGUUUUCCUCAGAAACUUUGUAAAACCUUGCAAGUAUAUAUUUUCUUUAAUUCACAAACAAAGAAAAAAGCAUGAUAAUAUUCUAAUCUGGCUCACACGUCUGUGGAGCGUGUUUGAUAAAACAUGGCAUUUAUAUGCUCAGAAUUUGAUCCCAUCAAUUUAGCUCCUCUAGAAACAGCUCACUGAGCGCAAUAAGGUUUAGUUGAGUCUCCCAUACCUGCACACACACUCAUGUACAUGUAUAUGUAUAUACAAGCUGCAUCAGGGGAUGUUUGAGGAAAAGAAGUCAGUCAUAGGCACUGGAUUGUGCCAGUAUGUUUUAUCAUUAUUUCUGGUAGUAGUUGCAUGGCAACAUCACUUGUGUUGAAUGCAGCUGUGUGACGAGUGUGCAAUCUUGGGGCCUGAACCUGGCAUACAAUGUAGAAUUCUGUGUUUAUUAAGCAACAGCUACAUUGUCUGCUGGGUUUCAGGCUGCCUGGAAAUGCAAAGCAAAUUCUACUUGACAUCUUUAUUUUGCAUGCCAUCACCUACUUUUUCAAUGUAAAACCAAACUAAUUUGUAAGUGAAACAUCUCAUGUUGGAUUCUUGUCAUAUUAAAACAAUCAGACCUAUC